GGGGCUAUAGCUCAGUUGCAGAGCAUUUGCUUUGGAUGCAGAGGGCCUCAGGUUCAAUCCUCAGUAUCUUCC